rnacentral:rRNA from 1 species
UGAGGUCANGCAAGAACACCC